rnacentral:rRNA from 1 species
UACGUAGGGGCAAGCGUUGUCCGGAAUAAUUGGGCGUAAAGGGCGCGUAGGCGGCAGCGCAAGUCAGCAGUGGAAGUCCCAUUUUCAAGGUGGGGAGGGCUGUUGAAACUGCGAUGCUUGAGUGCAGGAGAGGUUAUCGGAAUUCCCGGUGUAGCGGUGAAAUGCGUAGAGAUCGGGAGGAACACCAGUGGCGAAGGCGGCUUACUGGACUGUAACUGACGCUGAGACACGAAAGCGUGGGUAGCAAACAGGAUUAGAUACCUCU